CCAAACUUUAGCUGCUCCGGUUCAGGCCGGUUGCACGCUUCAACCCUUUGUGAACCAAACACCUUACGCUUCGGCAGCAGGUCCCAGCUGGAAACAGCUGGGCUGUGAGCCUGCCGAUGGCACCAAUUUAAACCAGUCUUUUAAAAUAUUGUCUGAACUAAAUAUUUUCGAAUGAAAAUUA
rnacentral:misc_RNA from 1 species